rnacentral:rRNA from 1 species
UAGGGAAUCUUCGGCAAUGGGGGCAACCCUGACCGAGCAACGCCGCGUGAGUGAAGAAGGUUUUCGGAUCGUAAAGCUCUGUUGUAAGUCAAGAACGGGUGUGAGAGUGGAAAGUUCACACUGUGACGGUAGCUUACCAGAAAGGGACGGCUAACUACGUGCCAGCAGCCGCGGUAAUACGUAGGUCCCGAGCGUUGUCCGGAUUUAUUGGGCGUAAAGCGAGCGCAGGCGGUUUGAUAAGUCUGAAGUUAAAGGCUGUGGCUCAACCAUAGUUCGCUUUGGAAACUGUCAAACUUGAGUGCAGAAGGGGAGAGUGGAAUUCCAUGUGUAGCGGUGAAAUGCGUAGAUAUAUGGAGGAACACCGGUGGCGAAAGCGGCUCUCUGGUCUGUAACUGACGCUGAGGCUCGAAAGCGUGGGGGAGCGAACAGGAUUAG